AACGAACGCUGGCGGCAUGCCUAACACAUGCAAGUCGAACGAGACCUUCGGGUCUAGUGGCGCACGGGUGCGUAACGCGUGGGAACCUGCCCCUUGGUUCGGAAUAACAGUUAGAAAUGACUGCUAAUACCGGAUGAUGUCUUCGGUCCAAAGAUUUAUCGCCAAGGGAUGAGCCCGCGUAGGAUUAGGUAGUUGGUGGGGUAAAGGCUCACCAAGCCGACGAUCCUUAGCUGGUCUGAGAGGAUGAUCAGCCACACUGGGACUGAGACACGGCCCAGACUCCUACGGGAGGCAGCAGUGGGGAAUAUUGGACAAUGGGCGAAAGCCUGAUCCAGCAAUGCCGCGUGAGUGAUGAAGGCCUUAGGGUUGUAAAGCUCUUUUACCAGGGAUGAAAAUGGCAGUACCUGGAGAAUAAGCUCCGGCUAACUCCGUGCCAGCCGCCGCAGUAA
rnacentral:rRNA from 1 species